rnacentral:misc_RNA from 1 species
AACUGAUACUACCUGCGGGAACCUGCGGAAGGAUCAUUAUUGAAUUUUAUCAAAGAAAAAUGUUGUGCUUUCUCUUGAAAGGGGGAAUAGUGCAAUGUUUUUCUUUUCCAAACAAACGAUCACAACUAACAAGAAAAUUGGUUUGGAAACAAACAAGUGUUUGCCUGAUAAUCAAGAUGAUUUGGAUUGGAGAAAGAAAUACAACUUUCAACAACGGAUCUCUAGAUCGGAAGAGCACAC